ACCCAAUGUUCAAACAUGUGAGCCUGUAGGAUAUACAUCACAGUUGGGCAGAAGGGCAGGAGAGCUCUAGAAUGAUCCUGAAUCUAGUCGGGUCCUAGAAGUUAUCCGAGCCCUGUGGUUUAUCUAGAAGGUCAAGACACAGAAGAGUUGGUCGCUGCUCCAGACCACAUAUGAGCCAAUUUCCCUGAACUGACAAAGGUGGAUCCUGCCCCCAUGAAAGUGUGUGGAGCAGCCAUGUGUCCUCAGACUACAGGGAGUAUAUCUCCCAGUCUGGUUUCUUUGGAGUCCUCCGUCCAGUCCUUGCUUGGACAGUCUAGGCAUCUGUAUGAACAGCUGAAUGCUACUCUUACCUCGGCAGUGGUAAGGAUUGUGACAUUGUGGAAUUCGUUAAACAGUCAGACCAAACAUCCAG
ensembl:lncRNA